UUUUUCUUUCAUUUUUUCGGAACGAUGAUGGUGCAGUGAUGAUGGGUAUAAAUCUCGUUAAUC
rnacentral:sRNA from 1 species